rnacentral:rRNA from 1 species
GACGAACGCUGGCGGCGUGCUUAACACAUGCAAGUCGAACGGAAAGGCCCUGCUUUUGUGGGGUGCUCGAGUGGCGAACGGGUGAGUAACACGUGAGUAACCUGCCCUUGACUUUGGGAUAACUUCAGGAAACUGGGGCUAAUACCGGAUAGGAGCUCCUGCUGCAUGGUGGGGGUUGGAAAGUUUCGGCGGUUGGGGAUGGACUCGCGGCUUAUCAGCUUGUUGGUUGGGUAGUGGCUUACCAAGGCUUUGACGGGUAGCCGGCCUGAGAGGGUGAGCGGCCACAUUGGGACUGAGAUACGGCACAGACUCCUACGGGAGGCAGCAGUGGGGAAUAUUGCACAAUGGGCGGAAGCCUGAUGCAGCACCGCAGCGUGCGGGAUGACGGCAUUCGGGUUGUAAACCGCUUUCGCCUGUGACGAAGCGUGAGUGACGGUAAUGGGUAAAGAAGCACCGGCUAACUACGUG